rfam:Otolemur garnettii contig044593, whole genome shotgun sequence.
GUGCUCACUGAGGCAGCACAUAUACUAAAACUGAAACGAUACAGAGGUCAGCAUGGCCCCAGCACAAGAAUGAUACGCAAAUUCAUGAAGCGUUCCAUGUUUUU